ACAGCAUUUGGGGGAUGUAAUUAUUGACUAUGUCAAAUAAAGUUCUAGAUAGAUGAUUGAUAAUGACAGUUUUCUAUCUAUAUGUCUUGACCAAAUCUUGUGCCAGCAGUCGCGGCAAUACAAGGAAGACUAGUGUUAUUCAUCUUUAUUAGGUUUAAAGGGUACCUAGACAGUAUUUCAAGCCCCCUAAGGGAACAGAUUUACUAGAGUUUUAUGUGAGAGGGAGAUAUUAGAACCAUUGGAGUAGAGAUAGAAUUUUUUGAUACUAAUGGGACGGAUAACGGCGAAGGCAAGCCUCUAUAUAAUAACUGACGUUGAGGGACGAAGGCUUGGGGAGCAAAUAGGAUUAGAUACCCUAGUAGUCCAAGCAGACAAUUAUGAAUGUUAUAGAUUAAAUUAUUUAGUGUAUAAAUGAAAGUGUAAGCAUUCCACCUCAAGAGUAAUGCGGCAACGCAGGAACUGAAAUCAUUAGACCGUUUCUGAAACCAGUAGUGAAGUAUGUUAUUUAAUUCGAUGACCCUCGAAAAACCUUACCACAAUUUGAAUACGGUAUGUGUUAUGCCAACCAAACAUCCCUAUUUCUUUUUAAGUUAUUUAAGGUGUCUGGUUGGGUUUCACCCGUUUAGAUAAUACAAGUGUUGCACGGCUGUCUUUAGUUAAUGUCGUGAGACUUUGGUUAGAUCCAUUAAAUUAACGUAAACCCUUGCUUUAUUUUAUACAUAUUGCAUUUCACCAAUUUAUUUGGAUGUGAUAAAGGGGAUUAAGACAA
rnacentral:rRNA from 1 species